UACGUAGGGUGCAAGCGUUGUCCGGAAUUAUUGGGCGUAAAGAGCUCUGUAGGCGGUCUGUCGCGUCGGCUGUGAAAUCCCGAGGCUCAACCUCGGGCCUGCAGUGGGUACGGGCAGACUAGAGUGCGGUAGGGGAGAUUGGAAUUCCUGGUGUAGCGGUGGAAUGCGCAGAUAUCAGGAGGAACACCAAUGGCGAAGGCAGAUCUCUGGGCCGUAACUGACGC
rnacentral:rRNA from 1 species